CUUCCUUCGGGGUCUCUCACUGGAGUCCAAUCAGAGUCUCUUACGAGGGUUAAUGCCACAGACAGGAAGCAGCUCUCACAGCAAACAGGAAACAGUCGAGUACAUCAAGGAGAAGAUCAGGGAGAAUCCAUCUCCAGAGAAAUCCAUCAAUCUGUUCCACUGUCUGAAUGAACUGAAUGAUCAUUCUCUAGUGCAGGAAGUACAGACUUACCUGAACAGAGGAGGUCUCAGUCGUCUCAGGGGAACCAGACUCUCUCCUGCUCAGUGGUCAGCUCUGGUGUUUGUGUUACUGAACUCAGAUCAGGAGCUGGAUGUAUUUGAUUUGAGUAAAUAUUACCCAUCAGAGGAAUGUCUUCUGAAGCUGCUGCCAGUGGUCAAAGCCUCCAGAAGAGCUGUGCUGUGUUGGUGUGAUCUGACAGAGGAAAGCUGUAGAGUUCUGUCCUCAGUUCUCAGAUCAAACUCCAGACUGAGAGAACUAGACCUGAGUGACAAUAACCUGCAGGAUUCAGGAGUGAAGCUGCUCUCUGCUGGACUGGAGAAUCCACACUGUACACUGGAGAUACUGAGGUACACACACACACACACACACACACACUCUGUACACUGGAGAUACUGAGGUACACACACACACUGUACACUGGAGAUACUGAGGUACACACUCACACUCACUGUACACUGGAGAUACUGAGGUACACACACACACACAGAUUAUAAUAAUAAUAACUUUAUUUAUAUAGCACUUUUCAUACAUAAAAUGCAGCUCAAAGUGCUUCACAAUGCAAAGGAAUCAAAAACACGCUGUUUUCCUGUGUGUGUCUCUUUAAAUGCAAAUGAGCUGCUGUGCCCCGCCCCCUUUCCGGAAGAGAACAGCUCCUGUUUCGGGUACUACAUUAGCCGUGGAAUCUGCUAACAAGCUCAUUCGGAAAGGCUGUGUGGGUGUAAUCUGACACAGGAAAGCUGUAGAGUUCUGUCCUCAGUUCUCAGAUCAAACUCCUCCAGACCGAGAGAACUGAACCUGAGUGUCAGUAACCUGCAGGAUUCAGGAGUGAAGCUGCUCUCUGCUGGACUGGAGAAUCCACACUGUACACUGGAGAUACUGAGACACACACACACACACACUCACACUCACACUCACUCACUCUGUACACUGGAGAUACUGAGGUACUCACUCACACACACACACUGAGGUACACACACACACAGGAGAUACUGAGGUACACAUACACACACAC